rnacentral:lncRNA from 1 species
AAGAAAGGCUGGAAUAUUGCCUGAUAGCUUGAUCUGCCCAUUCUAAUGCAUCGAACCAAUCAGUUUCUGCUUCGAAAGUUUGUAGAUGGGAAGCAGUUUGUGGUGCAAGGGGAAACUUCUUCAAAUUCCAAAGGACAAAUGAUAGGUAUAUCGCCUUUGUAGAAGCUUGUUAGACUGUCCAAGUCGAUCAAUUUGAGAGUUUUGAGUUGAGGUAACAAACAGGAAUGAUCGCCAGCUGGCACUUCAUGUUCAUUUUCUCCUCCAACUAUUUCCUUCAAACUGGAGCAAGACUCUACAGAAAGAUGUUCAAGU